AAGUCGUAACAAGGUAACCGUAGGUGAACCUGCGGUUGGAUCAUUACUAAAUCAAAAUUUUUACUUGGUAAAUUGAUUUUGAAGAGUUGAGUCUUUUUUUAUAUAAAAAAGAUUCCUUUUUGAAGUAAAUUUCUAGGUAAAAUUUUUUACCCAAUGUGAACCGUAUUUGUAUUUCGAGUUUUUAAGGUGCCUAAAAAACAUCUAAACUCGGUCUAUUUUCAAACCCAAUUUUUAUAUAAUUUUGUCUGACUUUUUUUUCUGACCAAGAAAAAUCCAAAAACAACUUUUGACAACGGAUCUCUUGGCUCUC
rnacentral:misc_RNA from 1 species